rnacentral:rRNA from 1 species
GACGAACGCUGGCGGCGUGCUUAACACAUGCAAGUCGUACGGUAAGGCCCUUUCGGGGGUACACGAGUGGCGAACGGGUGAGUAACACGUGAGUAACCUGCCCACAACUUUGGGAUAACGCUAGGAAACUGGUGCUAAUACUGGAUAUGUGCUCCUGCUGCAUGGUGGGGGUUGGAAAGCUCCGGCGGUUGUGGAUGGACUCGCGGCCUAUCAGCUUGUUGGUGGGGUAGUGGCCUACCAAGGCGGCGACGGGUAGCCGGCCUGAGAGGGUGACCGGCCACAUUGGGACUGAGAUACGGCCCAGACUCCUACGGGAGGCAGCAGUGGGGAAUAUUGCACAAUGGGCGCAAGCCUGAUGCAGCAACGCCGCGUGCGGGAUGACGGCCUUCGGGUUGUAAACCGCUUUCAGCAGGGACGAAGCUUUUUGUGACGGUACCUGCAGAAGAAGCACCGGCUAACUACGUGCCAGCAGCCGCGGUGAUACGUAGGGUGCGAGCGUUGUC